GCCCAUCAAUCACCCUCCGUUCACUGAGAUAGUAAGCUAAAGUUAGCUAGUGAGUCACAGAAAUGUACGUUCAGCCUGUUAAUUACUUCAGUCCAAUUGGACUUGUCUUACUUAAUCAGCAUGGCUUAACAUACUUUCUUUCUUUUUUAACCUCGAUAUUCUUGCUGGAUAGAGACUUUGAUAGCUAACAUGCUGGCGCUGCUAGCUAGCUAAUGCUAACGACGCUAGCUAACCGCUAUGUGGAUGCCUCCAUCUAGUUCCCAAGAGCAGCAGACCGGCCCUCCAUUCCCAAACCUGAAGCCCCCUGUCCCAAGCAGGAAAGACCAGGAAAAAGUGUUGGCUUAAGUUACAACUUCCUAUUGAGGAAAUCUGCUGCCAAGGCAGCAGCUUCUCUUCCUCGGAUCUGCCAACCAGGCUCGGUGGGUGACAGGUAACCGUGUUUCCACUAAGCUGUUCCAGGCCUGGAGUGGCACGCUGAAGCUUCCAGAGGCUAGUAGUGUGAGGUGGUGCAGAUCUGACACCCCUAUUAGCUCAACCACAGCCCUCACAGCUGCAUUCGUCUGCCCCUGCUACACCGGCUGCGACAGGUGAUACAGAUCUGCGACCCCCAGCAGUUCAGCUGCAGUCACAGCAGUCCUCUGCUGUGGUAUUUAAUUUACCGGCUGCACCAGUUCCUACUACACUGGCCAUGAAGGGAGACACUUUUGAGGAUUCCCAGUUGGAUACAGAUCUGCCAUGCACUCCAGCACUGCCUGACAUCCUCACCCAGAAGUGCAUACACUGGGCCUAUCAAGACUGACAAAGCAGAGAUGGGUGGCUGACACAGAAAAAUAAAACACAACAUGCACACACUCUCUCUCUCUGUCACACACAUUAUCCCCAGUGUAAAUAAGUUGUAAUUACUUGUUUAUUUUAUGUAUACUCCAUUUUAUUUGAGGAUUGGAGAUAUCUAUGCCUACAUAUCCAUUAUCAAUAUCUACAUAAUUACUCUAAAUAUCUAUCAAAUUGUGAUUGAUAAUAUUGUAAAAGACUUUUGCUUAAUGUGUACAGUUUGAGGAAAUUCUGUGUGCUUUUUUCUUGAGUUGAAAAACAUGCCUCCCUCUCACACACACAUUAGACCCAAUGUAAACACAUUGUUUCUUUUAUGGAUGUUCCAUGUUAAUUGAGGAUUGUGUGCAAUAAAGUACAUUCACAGUUAAAGC